rnacentral:rRNA from 1 species
UGAAGCUGGAGUUGCUAGUAAUCGCGAAUCAGAAUGUCGCGGUGAAUACGUUCCCGGGCCUUGUACACACCGCCCGUCACACCAUGAGAGCUGGUAACACCCGAAGUCCGUGAGGUAACCGUAAGGAACCAGCGGCCGAAGGUGGGAUUAGUGAUUGGGGUGAAGUCGUAACAAGGUAGCCGUAGGAGAACCUGCGGCUGGAUCACCUCCUUUCUAAGGAGA